rnacentral:rRNA from 1 species
GACGAACGCUGGCGGCGUGCUUAACACAUGCAAGUCGAACGAUGAAGCCGGAGCUUGCUCUGGUGAAUUAGUGGCGAACGGGUGAGUAACACGUGAGUAACCUGCCCUUGACUCUGGGAUAACUGCGGGAAACUGUAGCUAAUACCGGAUACGACCCUCGGAGGCAUCUCCUGGGGGUGGAAAGAAUUUCGGUAAAGGAUGGACUCGCGGCCUAUCAGCUAGUUGGUGAGGUAAAGGCUCACCAAGGCGACGACGGGUAGCCGGCCUGGGAGGGUGACCGCCAACACCGGGACUGAGACACGGCCGAGACUCCUACGGGACGCAGCAGUGGGGAAUAUUGCACACUGGGCGCAAGCCUGAUGCAGCAACGCCGCGUGAGGGAUGACGGCCUUCGGGUUGUAAACCUCUUUUAGCAGGGAAGAAGCGAAAGUGAUGGUACCUGCAGAAAAAGCACCGGCUAACCACGUGCCAGCCGCCGCCGUAA